AUUCCUUCCCAGCAGGACGCUGCCUGUGAGCACUGGGGUCCCUGGAGCAGAUGAGAGCCAGCAGAAGGAAGUGAGCAUGCUCAGUGAGCAAACUCUCUCUGUGAAGCUACUGACCAUGAGAGCACUGUCUCUCUUAUCCCAUGACUGCAUCAGAGUCUUCCGUGAGGGACCUUGUCAAAGGCUUUCUUAAAGUUCAGACCCCUAAAAAAUGUCAAAGGGAGAUGUGGACCCCUCUGGCAAUCUUAGAUAGUCUGCGAAGCUGCAGAGGGCCGCGGACCAAAGGAUGAAAACCACUGCUCUAUGGUAAUGACAACCUUUCACAGGCCCCUUAGACGUAGCCUGCGGACCCCCAGAGGUCCAUGGACAUCAGCUUGAAAACCACUGUUCAAUAGAUUGGUGAGGAAUGGCUUCACUUUACAAAAGCCAUGCUGACACUUUCCCAACAAAUCGUGUUCAUCUGUGUGUCCGAUAAUUCUGUUCUUCACUAUAGUUUCAACCAAUUGGCCUAGCACCGAUGGGUUGCCUCUAGAGCCUUUUUCAAAAAUUGUUAUCACAUUAGCUCUCCUCCAGUCAUCUGGUACAGAAGCUGAUUUAAAUGAUAGGUUAACAUACCACACUUAAUAGUUCUGCAAUUUCACAUUUGAGUUCAUUCAGAACUCUUGGGUGAAUACCAUCUGAUCCUGGUGACUUAUUAUUGUGUAUUUAUCAAUUUGUUCCAAAACCUCUAUUGACACCUCAAUCAGGAACAGUUCCUCAGAUUUGUCACCUAAAAAGAAUGGCUCAGGCUUUGGGACUCUCCCUCACAUCCUUGG